CUUGCCUUCGCCAUAGUAGGAAUCGCAAAUUAGCCUAACGGAGCCAGCUUGCCCGCAGUAUGUUAAAACACAGAGAGGGCUGUGUUAGUGGAAUAUAGAGAGUGCUGCUUUCAUCAUGCCCAUAAGCACCUGACUGGCAAGAGCAGCUAUUGUACAGGAUCAAAGUGAUUGUUGAGUGACACUACAUUAUCUGGAUUAUCAACAUUAGGUGCGAAGAUGAAUCAGACAUUGCUGACACUCCUCACUGUGGUCACUGACAAUGCUCCUGGUGCAGUCUGCUUCAACCAUGACAGCGUUUCUGUUGUAGUCGAAGGUGAAAUAGUUGUAAAUGAUGCAGGUUGACAGAUACACUUCCACUGUUGUUUGGGUCGAUAUAUGCUUUGAAAUUACACUAUCCAUAUAAACUUAUUUAUUUUAUGUUCAGAUUUGUUCAGAAAGUAAUGUCUUGAUGAUCGUAAACCACUACAACUAUGCCUACUGAAUCUGAAAAAUUCCUUGUUGAAAGACGUUUUAGUCGUCUUACCAAGGUAUGCCUAACCUGAAAAAUACAAUACAAUAAGAUUUCUUAAGUCUGAUGGAAACAAGUUUCACCGUUACAUAUUCUGUUUACUUAAUAAAACAAACUUGAAUUGUAA